rnacentral:rRNA from 1 species
UACGGGGGGGGCAAGCGUUGUUCGGAAUUACUGGGCGUAAAGCGCGCGUAGGCGGCUAAUUAAGUCAAAUGUGAAAUCCCCGAGCUUAACUUGGGAAUUGCAUUCGAUACUGGUUAGCUAGAGCGUGGGAGAGGAUGGUAGAAUUCCAGGUGUAGCGGUGAAAUGCGUAGAGAUCUGGAGGAAUACCGAUGGCGAAGGCAGCCAUCUGGCCUAACACUGACGCUGAGGUGCGAAAGCAUGGGGAGCAAACAGG